GGGUUGUGAGGUUAAGCGACUAAGCGUACACGGUGGAUGCCCUGGCAGUCAGAGGCGAUGAAGGACGUGCUAAUCUGCGAUAAGCGUCGGUAAGGUGAUAUGAACCGUUAUAACCGGCGAUUUCCGAAUGGGGAAACCCAGUGUGAUUCGACACACUAUCAUUAACUGAAUCCAUAGGUUAAUGAGGCGAACCGGGGGAACUGAAACAUCUAAGUACCCCGAGGAAAAGAAAUCAACCGAGAUUCCCCCAGUAGCGGCGAGCGAACGGGGAGCAGCCCAGAGCCUGAAUCAGUGUGUGUGUUAGUGGAAGCGUCUGGAAAGGCGCGCGAUACAGGGUGACAGCCCCGUACACAAAAUGCACAUGCUGUGAGCUCGAUGAGUAGGGCGGGACACGUGGUAUCCUGUCUGAAUAUGGGGGACCAUCCUCCAAGGCUAAAUACUCCUGACUGACCGAUAGUGAACCAGUACCGUGAGGGAAAGGCGAAAAGAACCCCGGCGAGGGGAGUGAAAAAGAACCUGAAACCGUGUACGUACAAGCAGUGGGAGCACGCUUAGGCGUGUGACUGCGUACCUUUUGUAUAAUGGGUCAGCGACUUAUAUUCUGUAGCAAGGUUAACCGAAUAGGGGAGCCGAAGGGAAACCGAGUCUUAACUGGGCGUUAAGUUGCAGGGUAUAGACCCGAAACCCGGUGAUCUAGCCAUGGGCAGGUUGAAGGUUGGGUAACACUAACUGGAGGACCGAACCGACUAAUGUUGAAAAAUUAGCGGAUGACUUGUGGCUGGGGGUGAAAGGCCAAUCAAACCGGGAGAUAGCUGGUUCUCCCCGAAAGCUAUUUAGGUAGCGCCUCGUGAAUUCAUCUCCGGGGUAGAGCACUGUUUCGGCAAGGGGGUCAUCCCGACUUACCAACCCGAUGCAAACUGCGAAUACCGGAGAAUGUUAUCACGGGAGACACACGGCGGGUGCUAACGUCCGUCGUGAAGAGGGAAACAACCCAGACCGCCAGCUAAGGUCCCAAAGUCAUGGUUAAGUGGGAAACGAUGUGGGAAGGCCCAGACAGCCAGGAUGUUGGCUUAGAAGCAGCCAUCAUUUAAAGAAAGCGUAAUAGCUCACUGGUCGAGUCGGCCUGCGCGGAAGAUGUAACGGGGCUAAACCAUGCACCGAAGCUGCGGCAGCGACGCUGAUGCGUUGUUGGGUAGGGGAGCGUUCUGUAAGCCUGCGAAGGUGUGCUGUGAGGCAUGCUGGAGGUAUCAGAAGUGCGAAUGCUGACAUAAGUAACGAUAAAGCGGGUGAAAAGCCCGCUCGCCGGAAGACCAAGGGUUCCUGUCCAACGUUAAUCGGGGCAGGGUGAGUCGACCCCUAAGGCGAGGCCGAAAGGCGUAGUCGAUGGGAAACAGGUUAAUAUUCCUGUACUUGGUGUUACUGCGAAGGGGGACGGAGAAGGCUAUGUUGGCCGGGCGACGGUUGUCCCGGUUUAAGCGUGUAGGCUGGUUUUCCAGGCAAAUCCGGAAAAUCAAGGCUGAGGCGUGAUGACGAGGCACUACGGUGCUGAAGCAACAAAUGCCCUGCUUCCAGGAAAAGCCUCUAAGCAUCAGGUAACAUCAAAUCGUACCCCAAACCGACACAGGUGGUCAGGUAGAGAAUACCAAGGCGCUUGAGAGAACUCGGGUGAAGGAACUAGGCAAAAUGGUGCCGUAACUUCGGGAGAAGGCACGCUGAUAUGUAGGUGAAGUCCCUCGCGGAUGGAGCUGAAAUCAGUCGAAGAUACCAGCUGGCUGCAACUGUUUAUUAAAAACACAGCACUGUGCAAACACGAAAGUGGACGUAUACGGUGUGACGCCUGCCCGGUGCCGGAAGGUUAAUUGAUGGGGUUAGCGCAAGCGAAGCUCUUGAUCGAAGCCCCGGUAAACGGCGGCCGUAACUAUAACGGUCCUAAGGUAGCGAAAUUCCUUGUCGGGUAAGUUCCGACCUGCACGAAUGGCGUAAUGAUGGCCAGGCUGUCUCCACCCGAGACUCAGUGAAAUUGAACUCGCUGUGAAGAUGCAGUGUACCCGCGGCAAGACGGAAAGACCCCGUGAACCUUUACUAUAGCUUGACACUGAACAUUGAGCCUUGAUGUGUAGGAUAGGUGGGAGGCUUUGAAGUGUGGACGCCAGUCUGCAUGGAGCCGACCUUGAAAUACCACCCUUUAAUGUUUGAUGUUCUAACGUUGACCCGUAAUCCGGGUUGCGGACAGUGUCUGGUGGGUAGUUUGACUGGGGCGGUCUCCUCCUAAAGAGUAACGGAGGAGCACGAAGGUUGGCUAAUCCUGGUCGGACAUCAGGAGGUUAGUGCAAUGGCAUAAGCCAGCUUGACUGCGAGCGUGACGGCGCGAGCAGGUGCGAAAGCAGGUCAUAGUGAUCCGGUGGUUCUGAAUGGAAGGGCCAUCGCUCAACGGAUAAAAGGUACUCCGGGGAUAACAGGCUGAUACCGCCCAAGAGUUCAUAUCGACGGCGGUGUUUGGCACCUCGAUGUCGGCUCAUCACAUCCUGGGGCUGAAGUAGGUCCAAGGGUAUGGCUGUUCGCCAUUUAAAGUGGUACGCGAGCUGGGUUUAGAACGUCGUGAGACAGUUCGGUCCCUAUCUGCCGUGGGCGCUGGAGAACUGAGGGGGCUGCUCCUAGUACGAGAGGACCGGAGUGGACGCAUCACUGGUGUUCGGGUUGUCAUGCCAAUGGCACUGCCCGGUAGCUAAAUGCGGAAGAGAUAAGUGCUGAAAGCAUCUAAGCACGAAACUUGCCCCGAGAUGAGUUCUCCCUGACUCCUUGAGAGUCCUGAAGGAACGUUGAAGACGACGACGUUGAUAGGCCGGGUGUGUAAGCGCAGCGAUGCGUUGAGCUAACCGGUACUAAUGAACCGUGAGGCUUAACCUUACAACGCCGAAGCUGUU
rnacentral:rRNA from 1 species